GGAAACUGAAGCACAGAGCGGUUAAGUGAUCUGCCCAAGGUCACACAUCCACUGAGUAGAAGAGCUGCAGUUUGAACCCAUACAGCUUGUCUCUAGAGUGGGCCUGGAGAAACGUACCGCAUGCAGAUGUCUGCACCCAGCCCCAGGCCGGCACCCCGCGGGCGCUCCCGGAGGAUCACAGA
rnacentral:lncRNA from 1 species